UACGUAGGGUGCAAGCGUUGUUCGGAAUUACUGGGCGUAAAGCGCACGUAGGCGGAUAUUUAAGUCAGGGGUGAAAUCCCAGAGCUCAACUCUGGAACUGCCUUUGAUACUGGGUAUCUUGAGUAUGGAAGAGGUAAGUGGAAUUGCGAGUGUAGAGGUGAAAUUCGUAGAUAUUCGCAGGAACACCAGUGGCGAAGGCGGCUUACUGGUCCAUAACUGACGCUGAGGUGCGAAAGCGUGGGGAGCAAACAGGAUUAGAAACCCGUGAGUAGUAC
rnacentral:rRNA from 1 species